rnacentral:rRNA from 1 species
CCUACGGGAGGCAGCAGUGAGGAAUAUUGGUCAAUGGACGCAAGUCUGAACCAGCCAUGCCGCGUGCAGGAAGACGGCUCUAUGAGUUGUAAACUGCUUUUGUACGAGGGUAAACGCAGAUACGCGUAUCUGUCUGAAAGGAUCGUACGAAUAAGGAUCGGCUAACUCCGUGCCAGCAGCCGCGGUAAUACGGAGGAUUCAAGCGUUAUCCGGAUUUAAUGGGUUUAAAGGGUGCGUAGGCGGUCGGAUAAGUUAGAGGUGAAAUCCCGAGGCUCAACUUCGGAAUUGCCUCUGAUACUGUUCGGCUAGAGAGUAGUUGCGGGAGGCGGAAUGUAGGGUGUAGCGGUGAAAUGCUUAGAGAUCAUACAGAACACCGAUUGCGAAGGCAGCUUACCAAGCUACGUCUGACGUUGAGGCACGAAAGCGUGGGGAGCAAACAGGAUUAGAUACCCGGGUAGUC